GAUGAACGCUAGCGGCAGGCCUAAUACAUGCAAGUCGAACGGUGUCUUCGGACAUAGUGGCGCACGGGUGCGUAACACGUAUGCAACCUACCUUACAUUGGGGGAUAGCCUUUCGAAAGGGAGAUUAAUACCGCAUAAGACAGUAGCUGGGCAUCCAGCAGCUGUUAAAGAUUUAUCGAUGUAAGCUAGGCAUGCGUCCAAUUAGCUAGUUGGUGAGGUAACGGCUCACCAAGGCAAUGAUUGGUAGGGGAACUGAGAGGUCAAUCCCCCACACUGGCACUGAGAUACGGGCCAGACUCCUACGGGAGGCAGCAGUAGGGAAUAUUGGGCAAUGGACGCAAGCCUGACCCAGCCAUGCCGCGUGCAGGAUGAAGGCGUUAUGCGUUGUAAACUGCUUUUAUACAGGAAGAAACGACUCUUGCGAGAGGCAUUGACGGUACUGUAUGAAUAAGCACCGGCUAACUCCGUGCCAGCAGCCGCAGUAACAC
rnacentral:rRNA from 1 species